CCUACGGGUGGCAGCAGUGGGGAAUAUUGGACAAUGGGGGAAACCCUGAUCCAGCGACGCCGCGUGAGUGAAGAAGUAUUUCGGUACGUAAAGCUCUAUUAGCAGGACAGAAAAUGCCGUUACCUGACUAAGAAGCCCCGGCUAACUACGUGCCAGCAGCCGUGGUAAUACGUAGGGGGCAGGCGUUAUCCGGAUUUACUGGGUGUAAAGGGAGCGUAGACGGCAGCGCAAGUCUGGAGUGAAAUGCCGGGGCUCAACCCCGGAACUGCUCUGGCAACUGUGAAGCUGGAGUGCAGGAGAGGUAGGCGGAAUUCCUGGUGUAGCGGUGAAAUGCGUAGAUAUCAGGAGGAACACCGGCGGCGAAGGCAGCUUACUGGACUGGAACUGACGUUGAGGCUCGAAGGCGUGGGUAGCGAACAGGAUUAGAUACCCGGGUAGUC
rnacentral:rRNA from 1 species